UACGAAGGGGGGCUAGCGUUGUUCGGAAUCACUGGGCGUAAAGCGCACGUAGGCGGAUCUUUAAGUCAGGGGUGAAAUCCCGAGGCUCAACCUCGGAACUGCCUUUGAUACUGGGGAUCUCGAGUCCGGGAGAGGUGAGUGGAACUGCGAGUGUAGAGGUGAAAUUCGUAGAUAUUCGGAAGAACACCAGUGGCGAAGGC
rnacentral:rRNA from 1 species